AACGAACGCUAGCGGCAUGCCUAACACAUGCAAGUCGAACGAGAUCUUCGGGUCUAGUGGCGCACGGGUGCGUAACGCGUGGGAAUCUGCCCUUUGGUUCGGAAUAACAGUUGGAAACGACUGCUAAUACCGGAUGAUGACGAAAGUCCAAAGAUUUAUCGCCAGAGGAUGAGCCCGCGUAGGAUUAGCUAGUUGGUGUGGUAAAGGCGCACCAAGGCGACGAUCCUUAGCUGGUCUGAGAGGAUGAUCAGCCACACUGGGACUGAGACACGGCCCAGACUCCUACGGGAGGCAGCAGUGGGGAAUAUUGGACGAUGGGCGAAAGCCUGAUCCAGCAAUGCCGCGUGAGUGAUGAAGGCCUUAGGGUUGUAAAGCUCUUUUACCCGGGAUGAUAAUGACAGUACCGGGAGAAUAAGCUCCGGCUAACUCCGUGCCAGCCGCCGCGGUAA
rnacentral:rRNA from 1 species